CAGCAGGAAAACCAGUUGGCAACUUGGUCUUAUUUACAGUGUCCUUUACUUUCUCCCCCUCCCCUUUUUCUUCCCUCCCUUUUCCCCCAGCCCACUCAAGGCUUGCGCAGCCUGCUUGGGCUGUGUGCCACGGCCUCCGUCUGCCUAUGUGUCUUCUCCUCCGACCAACUUUGAACUCUACUGGCCAGUUUCAGCCUUCAGUUUCCUUUACUUUCUCCCCCUCCCCUUUUUCUUCCCUCCCUUUUCCCCCAGCCCACUCAAGGCUUGCGCAGCCUGCUUGGGCUGUGUGCCACGGCCUCCGUCUGCCUAUGUGUCUUCUCCUCCGACCAACUUUGAACUCUACUGGCCAGUUUCAGUCAGGUUUGCCAGAUGCGUGGAAGUUGCCCAAGCGACUGAAUUUCCCCAAGUUUCCUGAAAAUAUCUGGCUGGGUAGAAGAGAGAACUUCUCAGCUGCAAGAUUUGCUGGCAGCCUAAGUGUUUCCAAGACUGAACAUCAGAGCUGAAGAGUGGAGAAGACCCAUCUGGGAGAGGCUGGUCGUUUUCUCAUUUUGUUGAUGAUAUCCACGCGCUAAAUUUGCAAUGAAACAGUAAGUAGGUCUGAAAUUACAUUCUAAUUAUGCCAUUUCCAAGUGUGUGCAUCUCUAAAGGCCAGGACAAGGAGAUGAAAUUAGGUCAGCCUAUGUCCAGAGUGAUGACACUUGGAUACCCAGAAUGAUAACAGGACAGAGUGCAGUACAGGGAGGUGGCUGUAAAGCUACAGAAAAUGUGCUUAGCGCACAGGUAACUACACAAAUAGUAGAACUCUGUCAUAUGGUAUGAAGUGUUAGUGGUACUUCAUAAAUAGAACAACAUAAUAUGCAAUACUUCACGAGUGACUUAAAACUGCUGUUACAUUUUAUGGUUUGGUGCUUUUACUGUGCAAGAUGAAGUAAAUAUAGCUAUCAAGUAGCUAUGUCUCCAAUCUACUAGGCUAUUUCUUAAGCUGUUUUUUGUGUGGCCUCUUGAAAGUUGUAUAUGCUGAUUUUUGUUCUAUUUCUGAAAUAAAAUAAAAUUGCAGUGAAGAAUCA
rnacentral:lncRNA from 1 species